AUUGAACGCUGGCGGCAGGCCUAACACAUGCAAGUCGAACGAGUGGCGGACGGGUGAGUAAUGUCUGGGAAACUGCCUGAUGGAGGGGGAUAACUACUGGAAACGGUAGCUAAUACCGCAUACCAUCAGAUGUGCCCAGAUGGGAUUAGCUUGUUGGUGGGGUAACGGCUCACCACGGCGACGAUCCCUAGCUGGUCUGAGAGGAUGACCAGCCACACUGGAACAUGGACAAGGUCGAGAGUCCUACGGGAGUCAGCAGUGGGGAAGAUGGCACAAUGGGCGCAAGCCGGAUGCAGCCAUGCCGCGGGUAUGAAGAAGGCCUUGGGGUUGUAAAGGACUUUCAGCGGGGAGUCGUUACCCGCAGAAGAAGGACCGGCUAACUCCGUGCAAGCAGCCGCGGUAAUUC
rnacentral:rRNA from 1 species